rnacentral:rRNA from 1 species
UACGUGCCAGCAGCCGCGGUAAUACGUAGGGUGCAAGCGUUAAUCGGAAUUACUGGGCGUAAAGCGUGCGCAGGCGGUUUUGUAAGUCUGUCGUGAAAGCCCCGGGCUCAACCUGGGAAUUGCGAUGGAGACUGCAAGGCUUGAAUCUGGCAGAGGGGGGUAGAAUUCCACGUGUAGCAGUGAAAUGCGUAGAGAUGUGGAGGAACACCGAUGGCGAAGGCAGCCCCCUGGGUCAAGAUUGACGCUCAUGCACGAAAGCGUGGGGAGCAAACAGGAUUAGAUACCCUGGUAGUCCACGCCCUAAACGAUGUCUACUAGUUGUCGGGUUUUAAUUAACUUGGUAACGCAGCUAACGCGUGAAGUAGACCGCCUGGGGAGUACGGUCGCAAGAUUAAAACUCAAAGGAAUUGACGGGGACCCGCACAAGCGGUGGAUGAUGUGGAUUAAUUCGAUGCAACGCGAAAAACCUUACCUACCCUUGACAUGUCAGGAAUCCUCGAGAGAUCGGGGAGUGCCCGAAAGGGAACCUGAACACAGGUGCUGCAUGGCUGUCGUCAGCUCGUGUC